rnacentral:lncRNA from 1 species
CGAGGAUGGGCACCAAGAGUGUUGCCGGGUUAGGAAAGUGAGGCCAUUGAGGAGAGCACUCAAAGGGUUACAUGCUUGGAUUACCGGUCAGAGGAAAGAUCAAUCUCCAGGGACUAGAUCGGAGGUUCCUGUUGUUCAAGUGGAUCCUGUUUUUGAAGGAUUGGAUGGUGGGAUUGGUAGCUUAGUGAAGUGGAACCCAGUCGCCAAUGUUGAUGGUAAAGACAUGUGGAAUUUUCUUCGGGCGAUGAAUGUGCCUGUCAAUACUUUGCAUUCCCAAGGAUAUGUGUCUAUUGGCUGCGAGCCGUGCACUAGGCCAGUUCUACCGGGCCAACAUGAGAGGGAAGG